UACGAAGGGGGCUAGCGUUGCUCGGAAUCACUGGGCGUAAAGCGCACGUAGGCGGAUUUGCCAGUCAGGGGUGAAAUCCCGGGGCUCAACCUCGGAACUGCCUUCGAUACUGGCAAUCUUGAGUCCGGGAGAGGUGAGUGGAACUGCGAGUGUAGAGGUGAAAUUCGUAGAUAUUCGCAAGAACACCAGUGGCGAAGGCGGCUCACUGGCCCGGUACUGACGCUGAGGUGCGAAAGCGUGGGGAGCAAACAGG
rnacentral:rRNA from 1 species